rnacentral:lncRNA from 1 species
AUCUCCGCAACCUUCAUUCUCUGAACAUGAGAGUUCUUCACUGGCCAAGCACUCUGCCCCAUACAACAUUGCAGGUCUAACCACAGCUCUAUAAAAUUUUCCCUUGUGUUUCUGUGGAACUUUCUUGUCACACAGGACUACUGAUGCAAGCCUCCACUUUGACCACCCCGCUCCUAUACGGUGAGUGACGUCCCCAUCAAUCUCUCCUUCCCCCUGAAUCACCGACCCAA